rnacentral:lncRNA from 1 species
AAAAUAGUACACAAUCUCUGAUAACAAAAAAAGCAUUUAGGGUCAAAAGACAUCCAACAUACAUUGUAACAAUGCACACAUAUUAAUUAAAAAAAAGACCCAUGAAAUAAUUUUUAAAAAACUUUCAAAAGGAAAAAACUAUUUUGGCUUCCUUCUGCUGAAAUUCGCCUAUAAACAUACCACGCCAGCUAGACCAGCAUUCCCUUUCACGUGGUCUGUACAACAUAGUACUGCACAAUGUGAGCAAUUACUUUGAUGAACACAUUGUUUUUGAAUAAAAUUGUUGGUUCUGUAUGGAUGAUCCAGACAUAAAUCCAUGGUUCCAUUUCACAAAAAUAUUCAUAGGCUGGAAGAGCAGUGACAACCAUUUUCCAAAAUCUUCAGUUUUAACAAAAGGCGCAGAAUAAACUACUAAAUCUAGAUGUUUUCACAUUAUUUUGCAUGAGUGUCAAAUACUAUGUAAAAAUUAACGUAAAAUCUUAAGUUGGCCAAAACUAGUGUCUCUAAAGAUCAAAAUUCUUCACUCUUUUAGCAUGGCUGAUAAAUCUUUUCUGCCUUUGUCACUAAUGCUUGUCAAACCAAAGAACUUUGCAAAAGAAUAUGCACUGCUGAAGGAAGACAGUACCAAAAAUACCAUAUUGAACUUCGGUCUUAAGACACACACAGUUCCUGUUGGAUACUGGACUGUGAAAGUUUAUUAUCUUCAGUCUUUUCAUGUCCUGGAGCAUGGCAAGUAGUCUUCCGCUUAAAUAACCGAAGACUCAAUCGAAGUAAUUCAUUGUCUACCAUUGGAGCACUCGUGUAAGCUUGUUUUAUGGUUACCUUCUCAUUUUUAACAAGCUGCUUUCGAAUUGCAGAAUCCCGUCUGAAGCACAACGCCUUACAACAUGGGCCAAGAUUACUAAGAAGACUUGCUCUUUCUUCUUUUCGUAGUAAUGCAGCCAUAUUGAGAGCCCCCAAUUCAUGUUCAAAGAGAUUGUCUGCAU